rnacentral:rRNA from 1 species
GCCGGGUAGCUAUGUACGGACGGGAUAACCGCUGAAAGCAUCUAAGCGGGAAGCCCCCCUCAAGAUUAGAUCUCCCUGGACCCUCGAGGUCCCUGAAGGGCCGUUGAAGACUACGACGUUGAUAGGCUGGAUGUGGAAGCGCAGUAAUGCGUGCAGCUAACCAGUACUAAUUGACCGUGAGGCUUGACCAUAUAACACCCAAGCGGUU